GAGAACUAAGUGAUCCAGCCUCCCCACGGCCAAUCAAACAUUUUCCCACAAAUAAUGAGAAGUACCGAAGCACAGGAAAAUGUAUGCUAGCAAUUCUAGCGCGAGACACUCCUCUCUCCUCUCCAACAGCAAUAGUACCAAUGAAAUCCUCCAAGUCCCGUGGACGAGGGUCACGAAUAUCCCCAACAUAAGGUAAUUUGCAUACAUUGCAAAAAUCCUGUAGCGUCAUGCAC
rnacentral:lncRNA from 1 species